rnacentral:rRNA from 1 species
CUGUAAGCCUGCGAAGGUGUGCUGUGAGGCAUGCUGGAGGUAUCAGAAGUGCGAAUGCUGACAUAAGUAACGAUAAAGCGGGUGAAAAGCCCGCUCGCCGGAAGACCAAGGGUUCCUGUCCAACGUUAAUCGGGGCAGGGUGAGUCGACCCCUAAGGCGAGGCCGAAAGGCGUAGUCGAUGGGAAACAGGUUAAUAUUCCUGUACUUGGUGUUACUGCGAAGGGGGGACGGAGAAGGCUAUGUUGGCCGGGCGACGGUUGUCCCGGUUUAAGCGUGUAGGCUGGUUUUCCAGGCAAAUCCGGAAAAUCAAGGCUGAGGCGUGAUGACGAGGCACUACGGUGCUGAAGCAACAAAUGCCCUGCUUCCAGGAAAAGCCUCUAAGCAUCAGGUAACAUCAAAUCGUACCCCAAACCGACACAGGUGGUCAGGUAGAGAAUACCAAGGCGCUUGAGAGAACUCGGGUGAAGGAACUAGGCAAAAUGGUGCCGUAACUUCGGGAGAAGGCACGCUGAUAUGUAGGUGAAGUCCCUCGCGGAUGGAGCUGAAAUCAGUCGAAGAUACCAGCUGGCUGCAACUGUUUAUUAAAAACACAGCACUGUGCAAACACGAAAGUGGACGUAUACGGUGUGACGCCUGCCCGGUGCCGGAAGGUUAAUUGAUGGGGUCAGCGCAAGCGAAGCUCUUGAUCGAAGCCCCGGUAAACGGCGGCCGUAACUAUAACGGUCCUAAGGUAGCGAAAUUCCUUGUCGGGUAAGUUCCGACCUGCACGAAUGGCGUAAUGAUGGCCAGGCUGUCUCCACCCGAGACUCAGUGAAAUUGAACUCGCUGUGAAGAUGCAGUGUACCCGCGGCAAGACGGAAAGACCCCGUGAACCUUUACUAUAGCUUGACACUGAACAUUGAGCCUUGAUGUGUAGGAUAGGUGGGAGGCUUUGAAGUGUGGACGCCAGUCUGCAUGGAGCCGGCCUUGAAAUACCACCCUUUAAUGUUUGAUGUUCUAACGUUGACCCGUAAUCCGGGUUGCGGACAGUGUCUGGUGGGUAGUUUGACUGGGGCGGUCUCCUCCUAAAGAGUAACGGAGGAGCACGAAGGUUGGCUAAUCCUGGUCGGACAUCAGGAGGUUAGUGCAAUGGCAUAAGCCAGCUUGACUGCGAGCGUGACGGCGCGAGCAGGUGCGAAAGCAGGUCAUAGUGAUCCGGUGGUUCUGAAUGGAAGGGCCAUCGCUCAACGGAUAAAAGGUACUCCGGGGAUAACAGGCUGAUACCGCCCAAGAGUUCAUAUCGACGGCGGUGUUUGGCACCUCGAUGUCGGCUCAUCACAUCCUGGGGCUGAAGUAGGUCCCAAGGGUAUGGCUGUUCGCCAUUUAAAGUGGUACGCGAGCUGGGUUUAGAACGUCGUGAGACAGUUCGGUCCCUAUCUGCCGUGGGCGCUGGAGAACUGAGGGGGGCUGCUCCUAGUACGAGAGGACCGGAGUGGACGCAUCACUGGUGUUCGGGUUGUCAUGCCAAUGGCACUGCCCGGUAGCUAAAUGCGGAAGA